rnacentral:tRNA from 1 species
UCGGGAUAGCUCAGCUGGUAGAGCAGAGGA